ensembl:lncRNA
UGUUCUCACUAUCUUUACUUGUUGUUCAUGUUGCCCCUGACAGCUUACAGCCACAACAAAACAGUUAUUUAUUUAACUGACUGUAAUAUAUAUUUAGUUAUCUGAAAUCAGUUACAAACCACAAAUAACUACUAAUGAACCCUAUCUGAACCCUCUGAGUUAAGCACCUCGUGUCAUACAGCACCAUCUAUUUUAACUUGUGGUCCGGGGGGGAGGGGCCAUUUUGUGAUGUCAUGCGAGAACUUUCAGUACAUUCUCAAACAGGCAUAUCUUGUGAAGCACAAAGUCAACUGCAGGUUCCUCUGUCAGAAUGAGACCAAAAAAGUAGGAUCCUCCUUCUGAUAGAUUGCUUCCUUUUAGAACCACACUAACCACAGAGUAAAACAGACUAGAUACAGUGUGUCACAUUAGCUGAGUGGCUGUGGUAUCCAAUCAGGCAUGCACGCUCAUGUGCUACACUAAGUGAAUGUUUCUGUGAAUAAUAUACAAGGAAUGGAGGACUGACAUGUACUUGUUUCAUUGUGUAGGUGUUUACACUUCUCAUGUUCACUCUUGUACAUACACUAUAUCUACAAAAGUAUGUGGACAGUAUGGUGGAACAACUGCAAGAUUAUGUUAUAAUACUUUAUUGCAUCAAAUGGUUGUGUUAUGAAUAGACUAUUCUGUUAACUAUUGUGUGUGUCACGAAUCCCGUUUCCUGAGUCUGUUUUUUGCCUGUGUUCUGUCCUGGAGUUGUUUUUUCCGGCGUCCUGGAACGCACCCUGUCUGGUUGCCGGGCAAUGUAGCCAGUUGGGAGUUCUGAUUACCCGCACCUGUAUCCCAUCAGCUAUCUGCACACCUGGUCCUGAUCAUCAUCUCUCCUCUUCAUAAGCCCGGACCUGACAUCCAUUCCCUGCCGGAUCGUUAGCCAUGAACAGUAUGUUGUGCCAUAGUAUCAGCCUCAAGUUGGAUAGAAUUUGUUUUGUUGUUUUUUACGUAUUGCUUGCCUUAAACUUACCUCCGUUUGUUCUGUCUUCAGUUACUCACCCGGAUCAUUUACCCCAUUCCCGCCUGGUCGUCGGAGGAUACCGCUUCCCCAUUGGAUCCACCUAUUUACUCCCAUCAACUCACCACCGCUGCCCGCUACGCCACCUGGAUAUAUCUACCCAUUCACAUUCACUUGUAAAUAAAUACUCACCUUCUUCCUACUCUCUUUGUCCUGGUCUGCUUCUGGGUUCGAUUUUGAAGAAACGUGACCGUGUGUUCUACUGAGGAUGGGCUUCUGGGAGAUAACACUGACAGGAGAUUUAUGAUGUCUUUUGGGUGAUAAAACCUAAAGAUCAUUCCAGAGCAUGAGUUAAUGUUUCUGUUCUUUACCGUACCAGGGAGAGAUGGUUCCAGUUUGGAGUCAGAGGGCCAGACACUGGUCUCUACACAAUAAACUGUUGACACAAAUCUUAACCUUUUUACCCAUUCUAUAUAUCUAUUGUUCGUCAUGUAGGUUGAAAAAGGUGUAUCUUGGCUAUAAAAUACUUUUGUCUCUGGGCUCUCAACGAAUCAUUUGAUCGUGAAUCGUCGACCUGUCAUGACCAGCCAUCAU